ACCUGAGGUCGCCGGGCUUCAAGAAGAGGAAGGAUGCCUGGUCCAGCCAGGGCGGAGAGCUAGGCUUAAGCGGCCUAGGCUCCAUCCCUACAGCCAGCUUUGGCCUCAGGCUCCGAGAAUGCUCAUGUCGCCCGAGGAUGCUGGGAGGAGCUACUGGUGACCUUUCCGAACCCAGCUUCUUCAGCCUUCCAAUGUGAACUAAAGACCAGCAGCUCUCCAGGAAUCCUCAAAGCCUUCAGCAAGAUUGGAACUGCUAAGGCAUCCAGCUUCAUAGACUGAGCAGCUGUCAGCAGUCUCUGUGUACCCCCUAACUGACAUGGUGGUACAGAACAGACUCAAACUUCAGACUUGAUUGUUUUAACCAAGACCAAAAGAUCAAGGAGAUGAUCACAUACCUGUGAGUCUCACUGGCAAGAGGACCUCCCAUGAGGUGCCUGGGGAGAAGAAGGUCUUGAUGGAGAUCCUAAUCUGCAGCUAGGAUUAUAAAAGCAAGUGCUUUGACUCCUAUACAUUAGAGAAUUUGCCAGGCCUCCUUGGAGAACCAGUAAAGAGAGCUUCAAUCCUAAUGAGUUUUUUAAAUGGUUCACUCCUCCAUCCUACAGAGUAUUUUUUCAGCUUCUGAGGGUCGUGUCUUUGGGAAUUCACUUUAGGACAAAAGAGUGCUGAAGACCAUUGGGUUCUGUCCUAGAUUGUGCCCGAUAGUGAAAUGAUUCACUUUUGAGAAGACAGUGGAUAGGACCAUGACAUAAUCCUCAGAUGCAGCUAUAAGGUAGUUUGUCCCAAAUUCUCAAAGCAAACUGUAAGCUGUGGAGAAGUAAGUGGCUCCUCAGAAAACCUUACCAAAUAGCAGUAAACAGUGGUGGGGACAGAACCUUCAACCAUUGGACAUAGUGGUAACCAAAACAGUAUUGGCUGUGGUCUGGCAAGAUGACCCUGGUAGCAAUGAUGACUGUGACAGGGACUGCAUCCUGCAUCCAAAGAGAGAGGAUGCUUUGUGAGCAUUCAAGGAAAGAAGAACAAGGACGUAGAUGAUGAUGAGUCUAAAGUCAUCAGGAUAAUUCCAUUCCUGUCAAUGAAUGAUAUGAAACAAAUGGUACUUUCCUGGGGCUGGAGAGAUGAUUCAGUGGUUAAGAGCACUGAUUGCUCUUGCAGAAGACCAGGGUUCGCUACCCAGCACCCACAUGGUGGCUAACAACUGUCCAUAACUCCAGUUUCAGGGGUUCUGACGCCCUCUUCUGAUCUCUGAUCUCUGCAGGCAUUGCAUGACACAGGUGCACUUUCAUACAUUCAGGCAGUACACUCAUAUAUUUCUUUUUCUAAAAAAGAAAAGAAAUGAUACCUCCCUAGCCACAGAGAUAUAAUGAAUAAGAUUGUUCUGCCUGGUAAGUCCCACACACUCGAUGUGAGAUAUCCUCAACUACUUAUUGUUACCAGAACACACAAGGCCCCUUUUGCCUGUUCUUAGUCUCAUAGAUUUUUUUAAAAAAAUGAAAAUCAGACUCAGAAGGAACUUGAGAACAAUUUUAUUGGAAUUUAAGAGAAAAAAAUACCAAAAGGCAGACAAGCCAAAGAUCUUGGCAAUUGUCAGGAGAAUACAGAGAAGAAAAAGAGAGAAAGUCAUGCUUUCUGAGUUAAAAGUCAAGGAAGCAGGAAGGCUCAUCAAUGGAAACCUGAGAGCAGCUGCCUGGGCAUAGUGUUUCUUCAGUGAGAGUCUGAAUACACAGAGUGCCAGGCCAAGCAGGUUUAAGAUUUUGGCCAGUAUCCAAAAUCAGGAAAUGGAAAAGAAACCCAAAAGGCCAGUAGGCUUAACAGUGAGGGUAUGUAAGCAACUGCAUCAAGGGAGGAGUUUCUGGGGUAGGUAAGUAUGUACUUCACUAUGGGAAUUCUUCUCCCCAUUUUUUCAGCAUAUCUGCAAGUAUAUGAUGUUUCUUUUCACCUUUUGAUUUAAGGAUGUUCCCUUGAGGUUGCUUUGCCUUCAUAAGGGAUGUCCAGCUUUCUGUAUAAAUGUGUUGUCAACCACUGACCAAGACACUUCUAAAGAGAGUUACUGACAAGUAGUAUAUGAUGGGUCAAAACUUUGGAAUCACAGAAGGAGGGUUGCAAGGGUCAGGAAAUUAAAGGAGAUGCAUAGAGCCACAGACAGAUACACAUGCUUUUUUAUUCCAGGAAAAGGGCAAAUAUGCAUGUCCUUGGUCUCAAGGACAUUUAUAUAGAAUUUACACAAAAGUAGUUUCUUGUCAAAACUGGUUAUAUAACAAGUUACAUAACAAUCACAUUUACUUCUUACUCAUGGUUCCCUGGAUAUCUCAUAGUGGCCAUCUUAACUAAGUCAUUUCAUUUAUCCAUACCGGCAUCAUGUUGUUUAAACCUUUAUCUGGCCAUUACGGCCUUCAUUCCCUUUAUUCCACCCCUUUUUAGACAGCAGGAACUUUAUUAAAAUGGACCCCUAGGGAUAUUCUCUGGACUCAUAGUUCACAGCAACAGUAUAGAAAACAACAAAUGAGUAGAAAACAAGUGCCACCUCUUAAGGCUAAGAUGGUCUACUUAGUGCAAGUACAGUCCCACCAUUGUUCAAGGGCAUCUCCAGUUAACUACUGGGUCACUUGUACCUCAAUGGCUAUUUCUUGUAAAGAAAUUAUUUGUUUAGUGAUCUGGGAUAUGUACACACAGUACUUAGUGAGUGACUGGCACAGGUUAUUCCCUGGAUAGCCAUUAGUAAAUCUAGAGCUCUGUAAUACCACCUUUCUCACUGUAUGGUCUUGUCCAUGAGAAAGGCCAGAACCUGACAGGUCUGGUUGAAUGCAAGCAUGGUGUGCUAGACAUUUACCUCUAUUUCUAUAUCUAUAGCCUUUCCCAAAUGCAAAAAGAGCAUAAAAAUACCAUGGUGUGUGUUUUUGUCCAUGCCACCAUGUGUACAUAGCAUCCCAGCUAUGGAUUAACUGGGGCAGGGUGGCGAGAAUGUCCCUAUCUCGGUAUGGGCAUCCCCUUGUGUGAUGCCCAAUCCAGUCAUCUGAUAGAUAUGGCCAACCAUUCUACCCACAAACCCACAUAAGCCCUCAUCUGAAAUCCCUCAUCUUGUGGUCUCCAGGUAGGUCCAGUUGGCAAAGGUUGCAAGAUGGAUUCACAAAGGCAAGCCACCAACUGAGUCUAUAAGGAACUAUACACACACAAAAAUGGGAUGCAUUCACUGCCUGGGUUUGUGUAUGCACCUAGGAGACAAUGCUUUUGCUGUAGUCAUCUGGGACACAAAGUCAGGUCAGAUACAGAGACCACCAUGGCAAGUCCCUGCCCUCUGGGAAAGUAUAGGCCACCUUCCCAUCCUGCAUUAGUAUAGUGGCUGCCAAUGGCUUUUUCCUGGCCUGAACUAUACAGUCUCUCCCAGGACUCAGUCUCUCCCAGGACUGAGGCAGGGGAUGAACAUCACUUACUGGCAAGUGCAAGAUGGGUCAUACUGCCACUACUAAAGGACCUUUCAGAACCAGAUAAGAGUGUCCCAGAGUCCAUUGUAAAGUGAGAGUACUUGGUCACUUUGUCACUAGGGGAGGUUGGUAUCUGUACACCAAUACUUUACCCUCAUGUCCCAGAAGGUUGAAAGCCCCAACAACAGAGCUUGGAGCUAUCUAUCACCUAGUUCCAUUUUCAUACAUAAGUUUGUUCUCCUAUCACUAUAUGUGUGCGUGACAUCAACUGUCCCUGAGGCCCCAGCUGUGGGAUGAGAAGGGCGUCUGUAUCCUUGGAAACAAUUAUAAAGCUGAUACUUUCUGUACAAGACCUCUAAUGGGGUCGACCACUGUUUCUGGGUUGCUCACUUAAGGUAAGUACCAUUCCAUUGAAGUGAAUCUGCCACCCUUUGAGGGAUGAGGGAUCUGUUCCCACAGGCAAUUUAUCCUUUAAAAGACCAUUAUAUCUAUUACUCCUCCUGCCUGGGGACAGUAUAUCUUGUGCAACUGCCACUCAGUGACCAUUUGAAUGACCCAAGCCUGGACCUGGGUGCCAUUAAAAUGCAUCUCCCGGUCUCUUUCCAAAGUACAGAACUGACCAUACACUACACAGAGAUGUGUCGAGGCCUGUAUAAUUGCUUUCUGGGUGGCCUGGGCAGUAAGAGAAGCAAGCCAUAGACCCAUAGCCAUGGAAGCAGUGGUAAGGGCAUAAGUACAACCUUCAGACACAGGAAGAGACCCAGUGUAGUUAACUUGCCCUGUGUGGAGAGGUGCUUUUUUCCUGCUCUGAUAGGCAUCAUUUCUAGCUGCUGCCACUUGAGGAAUACCUGGGCACACAGCACAUUGCCAAUAAGCAUUCCAUAUCUCUUCACAAGAGGCCUAACCUCCAUCAGACAUCAUUUACCUGUGUCGUGGUCUUGCUUCCUGCGUGCCCAACUCAGUGUAGCCAUGGGGAAAAGUCUUUGCUACUGGCCUUUAUACUCACUAAACAUGGGCCAGUGUGUUUGCUUCAUCAUUCCCAGGGCUGAGUAAAGGUUUAUGGUUGGCUACAUAAAAGACUGUCUCAGAUUUUUGUUGCCCUAGGUGUCAGAGAUCUUCCUACAUGGAGCAGAUGGUCCACCUCCCAAUCUUUCACAUUCUAUAUGAGGAUCUACAGAGUGAGCCCACACACACGUCCCAAUUAUCAGUCCACACGUGAAGAGGGAGGGCUCAUCCGUAGCUGUCAUUCAUAUAACCCUUAAUUCAGUUUACUGACAGCUUUAACUGACCUCUGCCUCUAUCCAGAAAACAUCAGUGGACAGCUGGAGAGCCAUUGCCAUCCAUGUGACCCUCUGUUGGAACUAUUAAUGUACCAGGCAUCAGGAGGUGUGAUCCCUUCUCAAUAAGGACUUGGUUCCAUGGGCUUCAUCUGUUUAUUGAACAUGUAUUUAUUGAGUUUCAGUAUAUUCCUAGAAAUGGACAAGGAGCUAAGGACAUAUUAAAUAAGACAGACUCUAUCUAGGACAUUCAUAAUUAGUUGAUGAACAGUCAUACAAAAUAAUAGUUUAGUGACAGAAAUGAAUUUUGGUACUGUCUGAAGUAUCAUUUAAUUCCUAACUGUAAGUUUGAAACUCUGCUUCCUUUUUAUCUUUAUUUAUUUGUUUGUUUGUUUGUUUAUGAUUCUGGGUUAUAUAAGACCAUUUUCACGCAAGCAAAUAAAUGUACUUUGUGCCUGUUACUUACUCCACUGUACCCCAAUACUUUGCCAUUCAUGCCUGUUCCACUCCCAUUAGUACCUAUUUUUUUUUCCUUUUUGAUCUUUUUGAGACAGGGUUUCUCUAUAGCCCCAACUGGCCUCACUAUGUAGGCCAGGCUGGCCGUGAACUCACAGAGAUCCGCCUGCCUUUGCCUCCCAGGUACUGGAAUUAAAUGCAUGCACCACCAUGCCCAACCCCAUUAUUACCUUUUAUUCCUCUAGAUAUUUUCACUUCGGCUUAAUGUAAGACCAUAAGUGAGAGAAAGCAUGUAGUAUGCCUUCCUGGGACUGAUGUCAUCCACUUAACAUGAUGACUUCCCAUUGCAUCCAUUUUCUUGCAAAUAACAUAACUUUUCUUUAUGGCUGAAAAAAGUUCCAUUAUAUAUACAAAACACAUUUUCUUUAUUCAUCUGUUAAUGGACAUAUAGGUUCUAUAACUUAGCUAUUGUGAAAAGUGCUCUAAGAAACAUAUAAAACUUUCUUAUAUGCAUGUAUGUCUCUGGGCUUGUAUGCCAUGUGUGUGGGGUGCCCAUGAGGCUAAAGAGGUGUUAAAUCCUUUGGAGCUGAAGUUACAGGUGGUUGUGAGCUGCCCAACAUGGGUCCCGGGACCCAAACUUAGGUCUUCUGGAAGAGCACAAGGUACUCUUAAUUUAUGAGCCUCCCCUCCAUUCCCUGUAGUAAACAUUGAUAUACAAAUACCUUUGAUAUGCUGUUUUAGAGUCUUUAGGGCAAAUACCCAAAUAUUUCAGUUAUAUUGUAGGUACAUUUGGGUUAUAUGGCAGGUCUAUUUUUAGUUUUUUGAGGAACAUCCAUGGUGAUUUCCAUAGUAAAUGGACUACUUCACGUUCCAGCAAUAUAUAAGGAUUUCACUACUUUUUUGUUUUCUUGAUGGCUGCCAUUCUGACUUGGGUAAGUGUUGGGAGCUAUUGC